rnacentral:lncRNA from 1 species
UCAAAUUGCAACUCUCUGGAGUUUGGAAGGCUCCCUCUCCACCCACUUUCCACCUGGCAAGAUUUGCAUAAAUACUCAAACUGCAUGGCUCAAAUGUUUUAGCCUACGGUAGAACAAUUUCAGACAAAUUGAUCAUGUUCAACAGCAAUGAGAGGAUCUCUCAGAUCUCUGAAAUACAUCUCAUGUGUGUUUGUCUCAUCUAUCCAUUCAUGUUUGGGUCACACUAAGAAAAGUUAUCUGUUUUGGACUCAGGGGUUGAACUGAGCUGAUUGUGCGUCUCACCUGUCUGUUUGAA